rnacentral:rRNA from 1 species
CCCAUAGCGCCAGGGAAAUUACGAGCUUUAGCUUGAAACCCAAAGGACUUGACGGUGUCCCACCCAACUAGAGGAGCCUGUCCUAUAAUCGAUGAUCCACGCUUUCACCUUACCAUUUUUUGCUUUCUCAGCCUGUAUACCUCCGUCGCAAGCUUACCAKAUGAACGAAUCAAAGUAGGUUUAAGGACUUAUCGCCAAUACGUCAGGUCAAGGUGCAGCUUAUAAAAUGGGUAGAGAUGGGCUACAAUCUCUAAACUAGAACAAACGAAAAACUACAUGAAACAUAGUCAUGAAGGAGGAUUUNACAGUAAAKARGAAAUAUAGAGUCUKAUUGAACUUGGCCCUGGGACGYGUACACACCGACCGUCACCCUCA